rnacentral:rRNA from 1 species
UACGUAGGUGGCAAGCGUUGUCAGGAUUUACUGGGCGUAAAGAGCGCGCAGGCGGUCGGUCAAGUCGAGUGUGAAAGCCCCCGGCUCAACUGGGGAGGGUCACUCGAAACUGAUCGACUCGAAGGCGGGAGAGGGAAGCGGAAUUCCCGGUGUAGUGGUGAAAUGCGUAGAUAUCGGGAGGAACACCAGUGGCGAAGGCGGCUUCCUGGCCCGUUCUUGACGCUGAGGCGCGAAAGCUAGGGGAGCGAACGGG